AUCCGUCCCAGAAGUCCAUUCGACAUCCAAAACGUUCGGAAACCAAGGUGCGGCUUCUGAUUGGCUGCAGGAAGCUCCGGAAGCCCCGUAGGACAUUCGCCUUCCAAAAAUAGCUCACAAACUGGAACAGUCGCUUCUGGGUUUGCGGCAUUCGGGAGCCAAAACGUUCGAGAACUAAGCUGUCUGAAAACCAAGGUAUGACUAUAUAAUAUUUCAUAUUUAUUUAUUACUUGCCCUUCAUUCUAAGGUCCCAGGGUGGAUUCUGACACUAAAACACAGUAUUUCAAACAGCUUAUUAUUUACAGUCACAAAAAUAAGGUGGGUCCUAAAAAACAGGCCGCUCACAUAUCAAAAGCCAGGGUAAAGAAGGUGUGUGUUCAGCAUUUUCUGGAAGCUGUGUAAUGAUGGUGCCAGACACACCUCUGUGUGGAUACAGCCCUGUUUUGAUUUGCAAAUCAAAUCAAAUCAAGAUUUGCAAAUCAAAUCAAAUCAAGAUAUACUAUCUUCCAUAGUAUAUCACUUUCAAAUUUUAAAAAAUGAAGCAGUUUGUAAGUUCUUCUAAUAAUAAACCUGUGACUUGAAGGUCUGACAUCGUCUGCUCCCUAUUUAUAAAUUGAAAAAUCAAAUACCACACUUACUUAAAAUUAUUCCCCUCAUUAGCCAUUCUGCUGGUAUUGGUUUAUUUUAAAAAAAUCAUUACCUGUUUAUUCACCACUGGUAGGCCCAAAGCAGGAUACAAUGUCAAUGGGACACGGGUUGUGCUGUGGUCUAAACCACUGAACCUCUUGGGCUUGCUGAUCAAAAGGUCAGCAGUUUGAAUCCGCACAACGGGGUGAGCUCUUGUUGCUCUGUCCCAGUUUCUAGCAGUUUGAAAGUAUGCCAGUGCAAGUAGAUAAAUAGGUACCAUUGCAGUGGGAAGGUAAACACUGUUUCUGUGCACUCUGGCUUCUGUCACGGUGUCCCAUUGCACCAGAAGUAGUUUAGUCCUACUGGCCACAUGACCCAAAAAGCUGUCUGUGGACAAAUGCUGGCUCCUUCGGCCUGAAAGCGAGAUGAGUGCCGCAACCUCAUAGUUGUCUUUGACUGGACUUACCGUAUUUUUCGCACCAUUGGACGCACCGGACCAUAGGACGCACCGGAUCAUAGGAGGGGGAGAACAGGGAAAAAAAAAUUUUUCUUGUUCUCUCCCUCUAAAACAAGGUGCGUUCAAGGUACCUAUUUUUUUUGGGGGGGGGGAAAUAAAGAAAAAAAUUCCCUCCCCAGGCACGGGGCAGGCGCGGGGGAAGCCCGAGCUUCCCCCGACCCCAGCCCCCAGAACAGCCUGCUAUCCGCAAGCCUAGGGAACCGAGCCGGUCCCCAGGCGUGUGGAGAGGUGCGCGAGCCCGGGCGCGCUCUUCAGUGCGCACCAGGCUCGGAAUGCAGGCAGCUCCGCGCCACCCUCCCGAGCCCCGCGCGGCUCACGCCGGGAUCGGGAGGGUGGCGCUGCAGAGCCCUGGGCGCAGGCACGCGCCACCCUCCGGACCGCGGGCAGGCGCGAGCUCAGGCAGCCCGCGCCACCCUCCGGAGCCCUGCGCGGCUUCGCGCCGGGAUCGGGAGGGUGGCGCGGAGCUGCAGGAAGCCCUGGGGCGCAGGCAGCUCCGCGCCACCCUCUGGAGCGAAGCCGCGCCGGGAUCCGGAGGGUGGCGCGGAGCUGCAAGAAGCCCUGGAGCUCAGGCAGCUCCGCGCUACCCUCCGGAGCCCGCGCGGCCUCGCGCCGGGAUCCGGAGGGUGGCGCGGAGCUGCAGGAAGCCCGGAAAGCCUGCAUUCGCUCCAUAGGACGCACACACAUUUCCCCUUCAUUUUUGGAGGGGAAAAAGUGCGUCCUAUAGAGCGAAAAAUACGGUAACUGUCCGGGGGUCCUUUACUUUUACAAUGUCAAAGCACAAUGGAAUACAUUUAAUAGAUUAGAUUGAUAAAACACAUCAGCCUAAACAGAAUCAGCAUAUCCCUUUCAUAUUGAGGUGACCAACCUAUAUUCCAUUCUAACUUCACGGGUUCAGGGCAAGCAAGCAGCCAGUGUAAAUAACUCUACACAAAACAAACAUCAUUUUAAAAUCAGAAACGCAUAAUGCACAUCCAACAUGAAAUGAAUCAUAGAAUCAUAGAAUCAUAGAGUUGGAAGAGACCACAAGGGCCAUCGAGUCCAACCCCCUGCCAAGCACAUGCCACAAUGAGGAAGAUCCUAAGAGAUGGGAUUUUUUUUAAUACUUUUUUAUUGAGAUUUUUACCAAAAAAAAGAAAACAUAUAACAGAAGGAAAAAAAGGCAUAUAAGAAUAGACAAUGAACAUUCUUAUCUAUCAGUGUUUAGUGUCAUUCACUUAUUUACACUGCGUUAACACGCAUCGUGACCUCCCCUCCUGCUGCGGUUUUCUUACAUUUUUUCUUCUGCUGCAGUUUCUAUGUCAAAAAUUUACGCAUAACAAGGAUUAUGUUAAGCCUGCUGUAGUUUUUAAUUUACCACAAUUACUCUCAAUAUAGGUCACAAAUUUACUCCACUCUUCAUUAAACUUUGUUUCUUUUUUGGUGUCUGAUUUUGUUUGUCAUUCUUGCCAAUUCUGCGUAUUCGAAUAAUUUUGUUUGCCAAUCCGUAAUCGUGGGAAUUUCCACUGAUUUCCAUUUUUGAGCGAUUAAUAUCCUAGCUGCCGUUGUCGCAUACUGAAAUAAGUUUUGGUCUUUUCUUUUGAUUUCAUCCCCAAUUAUUCCUAAGAGGAGUGCCUCUGGUUUUUUUGAAAAGGUGUACCUAAAUUUUUUUUUUAAUUCAUUAUAAAUGAGCUCCCAAUUUUUUUUUAUUUUUGUCACACGCCCACCACAUGUGGUAAAAAUCCCCCUCCUUCUGCUUACAUCUCCAACACAUUUUGUUUCCGCUUUUAUACAUUUUAUCCAAUUUUACCGGUGUGAUAUACCAACGAUACAUCAUUUUUUCUAGGUUUUCCCUUAAUGUGACACACCCUGUGAAUUUCAUUCCUCUGUUCCAUAACCUCUCCCAUUUUUCGUACUCUAUAUUAUGUCCUAAGUCCAUGGCCCAUUUUGUCAUUACCUCCUUUACUUCUUCGUCUUUUGUGUCCCAUUCUAACAACAAAUUAUACAUCUUAGCUAACAGUUUGGUUUUCCCUUCUAAUACCUCUGUCUGGUAUCUUGAUUUUUUCUCGUUCAUCCCCGAUUUUUUAUCCUCAUUCCAAAGUGCAUUUAUCUGAUGGUAUUGCAACCAGCCUGUUAGUCUUUCAGUUCAUCAUAUGGUUUAAUCCUCCAACCUUUUUCCGUUUUAACCAGUAUGUCUUCAUAUGUUAGCCUUUUCGCUUCCAUAUUUACCUUUUUUAUUGUUAGAAUGUCUGUCGGGGAUAGCCACCAAGGAGUGUUCUUUUCUAAAAGUUUCUUAUUUUCCCCCCAAAUUUCAAACAAUGCUCCUCUGAAAAUAUAAUUGGAGAAUCCUUUAUGGACCUUUCCUUUAUUGAGCCACAAGUAAGCAUGCCAACCAUAUCUAUUGUUAAAGCCUUCUAAGUCUAACAGAUCUAAAUUCUCUAGGGUAAUCCAUUCUUUAAGCCAACAUAGGCUGGAGGCCUCAUAGUAUAAUCUUAGGUUUGGCACAGCAAAGCCCCCUUUUCCCCUCCUGUCUGUUAAUCUUUGAAAUUUAAUUCUUGGCCUAUUUGCCUGCCAUAUAAAUUUUGAAAGACUUUUUUGCCAUUCCUUAAAAAUCGCGGAUCCCCUAAUCACUGGAAUGGUUUGAAAUAAGAACAGCAUUUUUGGGAGGAUAUUCAUUUUGAUUGCCGCCAUCCUUCCAGACCAUGAAAGUUUUAAUCUAUUCCAUAUUUCCAGAUCUUUUUUAAUCUCUUUCCACAUAGGUGUAUAAUUAUCACUAAUUAGAUUGAUAUUUUUUGAAGUUAACCAUAUACCUAAGUAUUUGACUUUUUUUGAGACCUUAAUUCCACAUUCCUGUUCUAUGUUCUCUUUUGUAUUCCUAUCUAUAUUUUUCACCAACAUUUUAGUCUUUGUUUUAUUUAGUUUGAAACCUGAUACCUUACCGAAUUCAUCUAAUUGUUCCAACACUUUACCGAUGCUUAUUUGUGGUUCUUCUAAUGAUAACACUAGGUCAUCUGCAUAAGCUUUCAACUUAUAUUCCUUUGUUCCGACUCUAAUGCCCCGUAUCUCUGGCGUGUAUCUCACCUUAUUCGCUAUGACCUCUAGAACCAUUAUGAAUAGUAAAGGGGAGAGAGGGCAACCUUGUCUUGUUCCUUUCAUAAUGCAAAAUGUGUCUGUCAGAUUGUUGUUAACAAUUAAUUUAGCUGUUUGGUUAGAGUAGAUCGCCUUUAUACCUUCUAUGAAGUUGCCCUCUAUCCCCAUUUCCUCCAUAGACUUUAACAAAAACUGCCAUGAAACGUUAUCGAACGCUUUUUCAGCAUCUAUAAACAGUAAGGCCGCUGGUACUUCAUUUUUAACUUCUAGGUAUUCUGUGAUAUUUAUAAUAUGUCUGACAUUGUCCUUUAACUGUCUAUUUGGGAGGAAUCCGGCUUGGUCUUUAUGUAUGACAUCUUUUAAGCAAUUUUUGAGUCUGUCUGCCAUUAUUCCCGCAAAAAUUUUAUAAUCAUUGUUCAGCAAUGAGAUAGGUCUGUAAUUUUUUAUAUUUAAGCUGUCCGUAUCAGGCUUGGGAAUCAAGGUUAUAUGUGCAUCUUUCCCCGUGUCUGGUAAAUUCCCUCCUUGCAAAAUUCUAUUCAUCACAUCACAUAGCACCGGGAUUAGUUUAUCGCCCAAUGUUUUGUAAUAUUUGGCCGAUAACCCAUCUGGGCCUGGGGCUUUGCCCAGCUUCAUCUUAUUUAUCGCCUCUUUUACUUCUUCUUUCGUAAUUGGUUUGUUCAGCUGUAUUUUUUCAUCUUCACCUAUGCGUUUCUCUUUAUAAUCUUCAAAAUACUUUCUUAUUUUGUCUGGAUCUUCAUUUUCUCUUUUAUAUAGGUUUUCAUAGUAUUUAAGAAAUGUUCUCAUAAUUUCCUCCGGAUUUUCUAUUUGCCGUCCUUCAACUUUGAUCUUAUUUAUUACACUUUGUUUUUGUCUUUUCCGCAACUGCCAUGCCAGGAGUUUCCCUGUUUUGUUCGCUGAUUCGAAAUACCUCUGCUUCAUAGAUUUUAUUCUCCAUUCUACCUCUUGGUUAACCAAUAUUGAAUAUUGGGUUAGUAGCAUCUUAGUGGCUUGUUUGUUUUGUUCAUCUUUAGGUUUUUUCAUUAGAUUUUCCUCACGUAUUCUUAUAUGGUUUAAGAUGUCUUCUUUCUUUUUCUCUCUUAACUUUCUUCUAAGGCUGCUUUGCUGUAUUAAAUGACCCCGCAUGACAGCUUUGCUUGCGUCCCAAACUAUAUCAAUGUUGGUAUCUUUAUUUAAAUUCCAUUUAAGGUAAUCUUCCAAAGUGGCCUUUGCUUUUUCAAUUACCUCGGGGAUCUCAAAGAGAUAGUCAUUCAUCCUCCAUCUGUAAACGCUCUGUGUUUUGCCCUUUAUUUCUAAACUAAUGGAGUUAUGGUCCGACAGAGUUCUUGGCUGUAUAUCACAUUUUACGAUUCUUGGUAUUAUACAUCUUGAUCUAAGAUCUAAGAGAUGGGAUUUCAUAGUUACUGAACCUGUGCUCUGGAAUUUGCUUGCCCCUCUCUUAGGAUCCCAUCUCUUGGGAUGGAGAGAUGUGUUUGGGUGUAAAAAUAUGUGGCUUCUACAUGGAUUGAAUGCAGCUUACUGAACAGAGGUAAGAGUCCUGUCACCUGCUGCUGAACCCACUUUUGAUUCUGGCCACAGUCACCACUGGUAUGUGGCUCCUAGAAGCUUCUCCACAAGUGAAUGUGGCCCUCAGGCUUUUAAAGAAGGUUCCCCACCCUGAUCUUGAGAGCCCAACUUUGUUUUGAAAUCUCAGCAACUCUGCAAGAAAUACAUUUUUGAAACCCCAAUCUCCCCCAACCACUUAAAAGGCAAAUUAAUCACAGCUGUCCCAAGCUAAGCUGAGUGUUUAGCAAAAAUGAUCUGUUCCCUGGAUAGAGUUCUGGGAUGGACAGCAGCCACAAAUCAAUAGGCAGGCUAAAAUAGAAACCAAGACACCAUACAUUUUUAAAGCCAUAGCUUUAGAUUAUACAGCAGAGUUCCUGAACAAAGCCUGCUUUUAAUAUUCAUAUGAAGAAAAGAGUUAUGAGCAUGGCAGAGAGUAAAAUGCCAGCUUGCUGGAUCUGAGGAACAGUCCUUGAAGUGGGC